UACGUAGGGUGCGAGCGUUGUCCGGAAUUAUUGGGCGUAAAGGGCUCGUAGGCGGUUUGUCGCGUCGGGAGUGAAAACUCAGGGCUUAACCCUGAGCCUGCUUCCGAUACGGGCAGACUAGAGGUAUGCAGGGGAGAACGGAAUUCCUGGUGUAGCGGUGAAAUGCGCAGAUAUCAGGGGGAACACCGGUGGCGAAGGCGGUUCUCUGGGCAUUACCUGACGCUGAGGAGCGAAAGUGUGGGGAGCGAACAGG
rnacentral:rRNA from 1 species